CUACGGGUUGCUCCAGUGGGGAAUAUUGCACGAUGGAGGAAACUCUGAUGCAGCAACGCCGCGUGGAGGAUGACACUUUUCGGAGCGUAAACUCCUUUUAUAUAGGAAGAAGAUGACGGUACUAUAUGAAUAAGCGCCGGCUAACUCCGUGCCAGCAGCCGCGGUAAUACGGAGGGCGCAAGCGUUACUCGGAAUCACUGGGCGUAAAGAGCGUGUAGGCGGAUUAAAAAGUCAGAAGUGAAAUCCUAUAGCUUAACUAUAGAACUGCUUCUGAAACUCUUAAUCUAGAAUGUGGGAGAGGUAGAUGGAAUUUCUGGUGUAGGGGUAAAAUCCGUAGAGAUCAGAAGGAAUACCGAUUGCGAAGGCGAUCUACUAGAACAUUAUUGACGCUGAGACGCGAAAGCGUGGGGAGCAAACAGGAUUAGAUACCCUUGUAGUC
rnacentral:rRNA from 1 species